rnacentral:rRNA from 1 species
AUUGAACGCUGGCGGCAGGCCUAACACAUGCAAGUCGAGCGGUGCGGCGGACGGGCGAGUAAUUCCUCGGAAUCUGCCUGGUUGUGGGGGAUAACGUCCGGACACGGGCGCUAAUAUCGCAUUCUAUCAGAUGCGCCUAGGUUGGAUUAGCUAGUUGGUGGGGUAAAGGCCUACCAAGGCGCCGAGCCGUAACUGGUCUGAGAGGAUGAUCAGUCACACUGGAACUGAGACACGGUCCAGACUCCUACGGGAGGCAGCAGUGGGGAAUAUUGGACAAUGGGCGAAAGCCUGAUCCAGCCAUGCCGCGUGUGUGAAGAAGGUCUUCGGAUUGUAGAGCACUUUCAGUUGGGAGGCGUUACCAGCAGAAUAAGCACCGGCUAACUUCGUGCCAGCAGCCGCGGUAAUUC